rnacentral:rRNA from 1 species
GCAUGUCUCAGUACAAGCCAAAAUAAGGUGAAACCGCGAAAGGCUCAUUAAAUCAGUUAUGGUUCCUUAGAUCGUACCCACAUUUACUUGGAUAACUGUGGUAAUUCUAGAGCUAAUACAUGCAAACAGAGCUCCGACCGGAGACGGAAGGAGUGCUUUUAUUAGAUCAAAACCAAUCGGCGUCAGUAGCGUUUCGGCGUUAUUGUUCGUCGCACUUUUUGGUGACUCUGAAUAACUUUUGGCUGAUCGCACGGUCUUGCACCGGCGACGCAUCUUUCAAAUGUCUGCCUUAUCAACUGUCGAUGGUAGGUUCUGCGCCUACCAUGGUUGUAACGGGUAACGGGGAAUCAGGGUUCGAUUCCGGAGAGGGAGCCUGAGAAACGGCUACCACAUCCAAGGAAGGCAGCAGGCGCGCAAAUUACCCACUCCCGGCACGGGGAGGUAGUGACGAAAAAUAACGAUACGGGACUCAUCCGAGGCCCCGUAAUCGGAAUGAGUACACUUUAAAUCCUAUAACAAGGACCAAUUAGAGGGCCAGUCUGGUGCCAGCCGCCGCGGUAACUCCAGCUCUAAUAGCGUAUAUUAAAGUUGUUGCGGUUAAAAAGCUCGUAGUUGAAUCUGUGUUUCGCGCUGUCRGUUCACCGCCCGCGGUGUUUAACUGGCACGUCUCGCGRAACGUCCUGCCGGUGGAUGCGUGUCCUUUGUCUACUUACCCAUUAUGCGUGUGCAACUCCGGUUGUUACUGUAUAGUGCGGUGAGGUUCAAAUGUGUCACCAUCCGACUCAAUAAUCCUGUCGCGGUGCUCUUAAUUGAGUGUCGAGGCGGGCCGGCACGUUUACUUUGAACAAAUUAGAGUGCUCAAAGCAGGCUAAAAUUUCGCCUGAAUACUGUGUGCAUSGAAUAAUGGAACAGGACCUCGGUUCUAUUUUGUUGGUUUUCGGAACCCCGAGGUAAUGAUUAAUAGGGACAGAUGGGGGCAUUYGUAUUGCGACGUUAGAGGUGAAAUUCUUGSMUSGUCGCAAGACGKACWGAAGCGAAAGCAUUUGCCAAAAAUGUUUUCRUUAAUCAAGAMCGAAAGUCAGAUGUUCGAMGGCGAUCAGAUACCGCCCUAGUUCUGACCAUAAACGAUGCCAGCUAGCGAUCCGCCGACGUUCCUCCGAUGRCUCGKCRGRCAGCUWCCGGGAAACCAAAGCAUWUGRGWUCYRSSKGAAGUAYKGUUGCAAAKCUGRRACUUAAAGGAAUUSACGGAAGGGCACCACCAGGAGUGGAGCCUGCGGCUUAAUUUGACUCAACACGGGAAACCUCACCAGGCCCGGACACCGGAAGGAUUGACAGAUUGAUAGCUCUUUCUUGAUUCGGUGGGUGGUGGUGCAUGGCCGUUCUUAGUUGGUGGUGUGAAUUGUCUGGUUAAUUUCGAUAACGAACGAGACGCUAACCUGCUAAAUAGGCGUAUUUCUGGUAUCCUGAAGGCUUGUGUCUCUCGUUUUCUGUCGUAUUUUAGCUGUAGUGUAUCAUCGUUUAGGCGGUGUGCAUUAUACUAGAUGCGUUUCAGUGCGGGAGUUCACAGUUUUUACUACCAGCGUACAUAUAAAUCUUCUUAGAGGGACAGGCGGCUUUGAGCCGCACGAGAUUGAGCAAUAACAGGUCUGUGAUGCCCUUAGAUGUUCUGGGCCGCACGCGCGCUACACUGAAGGAAUCAGCGUGUCUUCCCUGGCCGAACGGCCCGGGUAACCCGCUGAACCUCCUUCGUGCUAGGGAUUGGGGCUUGCAAUUGUUCCCCAUGAACGAGGAAUUCCCAGUAAGCGCGAGUCAUAAGCUCGCGUUGAUUAAGUCCCUGCCCUUUGUACACACCGCCCGUCGCUACUACCGAUUGAAUGAUUUAGUGAGGUCCUCGGACUGGUACGCGGGGUCGUAUUCACGU